rnacentral:rRNA from 1 species
GAUGAACGCUAGCGGCAGGCCUAACACAUGCAAGUCGAGGGGCAGCGGGAAAAAGCUUGCUUUUUUGCCGGCGACCGGCGCACGGGUGCGGAACGCGUAUGGAACCUGCCCCUGUCAGGGGAAUAGCCCAGGGAAACUUGGAUUAAUGCCCCAUGGUACCGUUACAUCGCAUGAUGUUUCGGUUAAAGAUUUAUCGGACAGGGAUGGCCAUGCGUACCAUUAGUUAGUUGGCGGGGUAACGGCCCACCAAGGCAGCGAUGGUUAGGGGCCCUGAGAGGGGGAUCCCCCACACUGGUACUGAGACACGGACCAGACUCCUACGGGAGGCAGCAGUGAGGAAUAUUGGACAAUGGGCGGGAGCCUGAUCCAGCCAUGCCGCGUGCAGGAUGACUGCCCUAUGGGUUGUAAACUGCUUUUAUACGGGAAGAAACGCACCUACGUGUAGGUGUCUGACGGUACCGUAAGAAUAAGGACCGGCUAACUCCGU